CAAAAUCUUCAAACGGUCGAAAAUCUUAGCUGUCUCCCACAAUUGCUCCCGCUCCAAAACCGAUUGAAUUGCGCGGGACUGAAUUGGUUCAACGGCCGGUCAAUAUUUUCUUCCUCACAAUCUCACCGAGAAUUCUCUCUCUCGCGCCCGCCUUCUCCUUCCCAAUGACCAAUUCCUUAUCCAUUCGACGAUCGUUCUUUCAAUCGCACUCUCACCAGACCGAUUCGUUCUCCUCAUUUUCGGAGAUUUGUUUCCGUCGAGCUCUCUUUCUCUCUCCUUCUUUCGUUACUUCAGCCUUCGAACUUCCUUUCAAUAUAGAAAACAGUCUUCAAGAAGUCGCCAGCCGAAGGUGGGCUCAGUCGGUGCGGCGGUUGUUUGGUCAGUGCGCAUCGGCCGGACACACGGUUCUAGACUCAGAGCCGAUCGAAUUCUCCAGCGAUUUGAUGAUGGCGGUAGUGAGGGAGCAAAACGGGGGCUGUACGUGCAGAAAUUAGACGAUAUCAAUUUAGGGUUUCGUUAUAAACCCUCCGAGCCCCCGUCAUCGAUUCAUAAGACGUGUGGGUGGCUAAUUUUGAACUUUAGCGGAAACCUGAGGGAGUUGCUUCUGAUCUUCGAUCGAAAAGGGAAGAGAUCAAUCCGAGCCCUCCAUCAUCGAUUCAUAAGACGUGUGGGUGGCUGAUUUUGGAAUUAAGCCGAAACCUGAGGGAGUUGAUUCUGUGGUUGGAGAGCUACAACAAUUGUUGAUAAUAAAAUUUGGCCAAUUGUCUUUAUUUUAUCCUGGUUUGUGUGACAAAGACUGAUGUUGCGGUACACUCUUGCUGAUAUAAACCGCAUGGUUUACUCAAGGAAAUUUUGCAAAAAAGUACUUAUGGGUGGAGAAAAUGGAAUAAAAGAACAGGAGAAAAAUAAACUAAAAACUGUGAAGCUUCUGAAACUUAUCAGAGCGAAUACCUCAUUGACGAGCAGUGUGUUGUUAAUCAGGUAAACUAUAUUAGGUUGUUUGUUAUCAUCAUACUCUUGGUAAGUAAACUAACUAGUGUGUUGCAAUCAAAUUUUUAAAUAUGUCAAAAUACUCCAAUCAUUCCUAAUUUAUGUACGCUGAUGGUAACAAUCUUAUACCAUGUUUAUCUCUUUUAUAUGUCAUUUCUCAAGGCAAAAGAAUUUUUUGUAGUUUUACUUUUUCAGGUUGUAGCAUCUGGCAUAUAUGAAGGAAUGCUCAAGCCAGGAGUUUGUGCCACGUCUCUACGUACAACAAUGAGAUGUUAGCGUCGGAGUCAUGGUCGGAAAUCUGGGCAAAAUGAAAUCGAAAAGAAACUCGGGAGACAUGGACGGUAGAUAGAUUUCUGAUGCGACUCAAAAGACAGGAGAGAAAAGUUGAAGAAGAAGAAGAAAACGAAGGAAGAAGAAAGAUAAAAGAAGAAUGAAGGACGAGAGUAGAGAAAAUGGAAUAAAAAGUAAAAAGAUAAAAAAAAAACUACCUUUAAUACUAGCGGCCAUAAUGGCGCCGUUGGUUUUCAAUGCUACUGCAAGUUAAUAACUUGCACGCAUGCAGAGCAUUAAAUGUAGUCUGCUCUUUUUUUUUAGUAAAUAAAAUAAAUGUUGGUCGGUUUCAGUUGGAAAUGUGAUUUUUUACCAAACCGACCGACAACCAAUCGGUCUUCUAACCGACUCCGAUCAAAUUUUUCAUCAAACCGACCGGUUCGGUCGGUUUUAGUCUGUCGGAUCGGUUUUUCGGGAUUAU